AUUGAACGCUGGCGGCAGGCCUAACACAUGCAAGUCGAGCGGAUGAGAGGAGCUUGCUUCUCGAUUCAGCGGCGGACGGGUGAGUAAUGCCUAGGAAUCUGCCUGGUAGUGGGGGACAACGUUUCGAAAGGAACGCUAAUACCGCAUACGUCCUACGGGAGAAAGCAGGGGACCUUCGGGCCUUGCGCUAUCAGAUGAGCCUAGGUCGGAUUAGCUAGUUGGUGAGGUAAUGGCUCACCAAGGCGACGAUCCGUAACUGGUCUGAGAGGAUGAUCAGUCACACUGGAACUGAGACACGGUCCAGACUCCUACGGGAGGCAGCAGUGGGGAAUAUUGGACAAUGGGCGAAAGCCUGAUCCAGCCAUGCCGCGUGUGUGAAGAAGGUCUUCGGAUUGUAAAGCACUUUAAGUUGGGAGGAAGGGUUGUACGUUAAUACCGUGCAAUUUUGACGUUACCGACAGAAUAAGCACCGGCUAACUCUGUGCCAGCAGCCGCGGUAAUAC
rnacentral:rRNA from 1 species